rnacentral:lncRNA from 1 species
UCCCAUUCUGUACUUGAAUGUAAUAUGUUGUUUUCUGCAGUUCCUAUACUUGAAUGUGUACUGCAAGUUCCUAUUUUACGAUAAAACAAGUUCCUAUUUUUCUAUAGUGACUAACACAACAUCUUUCCGUGUAGAAAAUGAGGAGCUUCAGACACCAUCGAGUAAAUGGAGUCUCUGAUGACACUGCUCCUACUGAUUCAACUGAGAAUGGGAAUGGCUCCAACAACAAUGAGAACAAUGAGAUUGCGCCAAUUGAGCAAGGAAGUCAAAGGAGGAAGAGAGGACGUACUCAGCCAAAAAUGCCUCCACCUGGCCAGCAAAUUCCUAUUAAACCCCUUGGUGAAGAGUUAGUAUAUCUUCUCUUGGUAGAAAAUUUAUUAGUGAAAAUUAUCCCUGUGUUGAGUAGUAAAAAAUUAGUAGUGAAAAUUUAUUAUGUGUUGCUGCAUCUAAGUACAGUGAUGUAGUCGUGCUCAUCUGAGUGCUACUUUGACUAAAGUGGUAAUCCCUGAGUCAUACAGAUAUAUACAUCUGAGUGCUACUUUGAGUAGGCAAUUUGAGUUUGUAAAUACUCACCUAAGAAGGAUAUGGGGAUUGGUGGUCAAGUCACAGCUCUGCUAAAGCGUGAAUACACUUCUAUGAUUGAAGAGAGUCGUUCAAAGGAGUAUUUGCAAAGACAUGGGCUCACUAUGAUAUUAUUGAAGAUGAUGACGAUAUGACUGCUGCGAAGAAUUUUGGGUAAUUCAAUUAGUUCAAUGUCACUGUUUUUAAAAUUCUAAAUAUUCUCUCUACUGCGAAUGUAGGGUUUGGUUUGUCUAAAUAUGAAAGAUGAUAUGCCUGUAUUUUGUCGAUGUAGAGCAUCUACUCAGUGGAAGAUGAUUUAAUAAUGCCACAUGCAGAAUAUGUUCUCGAUAGGCUUGCAACUAAACAGUGCAGAAAUAUGAUGUAUGAGCUUCGUGUGGAUGCUGUGAAGACAUACUAUGACAAGUUCCUUCAGCAAAGGAUAAAGGAUUCAGAGGCUUGCAAGAAAUUACUUCGUCAAGCCCAGUAUGCAAAGGUUCAGCCAGACUGGAUUUAUG